rnacentral:rRNA from 1 species
UACGAAGGUGUCUAGCGUUGUUCGGAAUCACUGGGCGUAAAGCGCGCGUAGGCGGCUUUGCAAGUCAGAGGUGAAAUCCUGAGGCUUAACCUCAGAAUUGCCUUUGAAACUGCAAAGCUGGAGUACUGGAGAGGAUAGCGGAAUUCCUAAUGUAGCGGUGAAAUGCGUAGAUAUUAGGAGGAACACCGAUGGCGAAGGCAGCUAUCUGGACAGUAACUGACGCUGAGGCGCGAAAGCGUGGGGAUCAAACAGG